GUUGUGGGUGGAACGGCAGAGCUGCUGCUGUGAGGAAAGUCUAGUAUGUGUUUUGAUACCACUGCUCACUUUCAAUAAAUGCACAAAUAAGGUUUGGAUUAUUCUGCAAUUUAUUCAGUUCAGUGAAAGCUACUCCCUAACAUUUGCACAGGGCCUACGAGAAGGAGCAGCUCACACUGUUCAACAGUGAUCACUUUGGAAGCUGGUUGAGAGGCCAUCACCAACCCCAUCUCCUGAGAGGAGUGUGAAUCAUGAAUUGAGUGGAUACUCGAGCAACCAGGAUCCAGCGGAUGGAGCUUGUGCCCACCAAGUCAAAGAGGAGCAGAGCAGAGCAGAGCAGAGCAGAGCAGA